rnacentral:rRNA from 1 species
GAUGAACGCUGGCGGCGUGCCUAAUACAUGCAAGUCGAGCGAACAGACGAGGAGCUUGCUCCUCUGACGUUAGCGGCGGACGGGUGAGUAACACGUGGAUAACCUACCUAUAAGACUGGGAUAACUUCGGGAAACCGGAGCUAAUACCGGAUAAUAUAUUGAACCGCAUGGUUCAAUAGUGAAAGACGGUUUUGCUGUCACUUAUAGAUGGAUCCGCGCCGCAUUAGCUAGUUGGUAAGGUAACGGCUUACCAAGGCAACGAUGCGUAGCCGACCUGAGAGGGUGAUCGGCCACACUGGAACUGCGACACGGUCCAGACUACUACGGGAGGAAGCAGUAGGGAAUCUUCCGCAAUGGGCGAAAGCUUGACGGAGCAACGCCGCGUGAGUGAUGAAGGUCUUCGGAUAGUAAAACUCUGUUAUUAGGGAAGAACAAAUGUGUAAGUAACUAUGCACGUCUUGACGGUACCUAAUCAGAAAGCCACGGCUAACUACGUG